AUGAAAGUGUGCCUACUCUCAGCCGCAGUAAGUCUGAGAACCGGAGAGGGAUUUAGCAUUCCUCUUUCCACCCCGGCUGACCGGGAAGGGUGUCAGGUGGAUCUACCCCAGUCGUAGCAGGACUGGGCAAUAGAGAAGUUGGAGAAAAGGGAAGAGUUGUGUACUUGAUAACUAGAAUUGAGCAAUUAAGAGCAUAGAUCAUGAACCAGGCAGCAACUCAAACCUACGCCCAGGGCAAGUUGCAAGCCUUGAGACAGGACUUCCAGGCAGAAAAGGAAGCACUGGCUAAGCAAGUACUGGUCCUUCAGGGACUUGUCAGAAUUUAACCAUUUGUUUUUGCAUAUGCUGUAAGAGCAGUGUGUUUGCCACAAGAGAAAAUUGAAUAGUUAAAUGCCAAUGGGUCAUGCGUUUUGCCCAAGUGGCAAGCCUCACGAGGGAGGACUCGGGUAGCCUUGUGAGUAAGAAUGUUUAAGAGAAGAGACCAGGAAGGGUGGGGGCUAGUUGAGAAGCCCACCCUCCUAUCUAAAUUGGUAGUGAAAAAGCUGGUGCCCAUGGAAGGGACGGUUCAGCGAGAAAAGCAGGAUCGGGCCCAAGCGGGCAGGCAAUAGAUAGAGAGAUUGGAGAACAGGUUGGAAACUUUGAGGGCAUAGUGGAAGGAAAGGAGUAAGUAAUUAUAAGCAUGGGGAUUUCAAAUCCCCAGGAUAAUAAUUGAAAUGGUAAAAUGUGUGUAAGACAGAGUCUUUGUACCAAGGUGCAAGGCUCUCCUUUCUUCUGCUGAAUAAAGCAACUCUUCCUUAUCCCUGUCUGGCUGUUAUUGGCUCUCAGCUAGGUGGACCCGAUAUUUUGGUGACAGUUACUGGCGACUCCGGUUAAUGAAUUUCUGUCUUAUACAUUUAGGUGUUAGGUGUGUGGAUGGAACUGAGCCUCUCAUUUGUAAUUCCUCAGAGUGGAAGCCAUCGCGUGCAAUGAAGCUCUGAGGUCGAAUUGGGAUCCUUCUGUCCCGUCCCCUGUAGCGAUCACUGGGUGUUUGAAAGCAGGAGUUAGAAGUAAAAGGCAAUCAAAGUCUGGGAAAGUUAAUUGUGUCCCUUUUUACAUAAGAAUUUUUAAGCUGUGGAUAGCUUUGGAUCUGGAAGCAAGCCAGAAAGCAUCUGUAUUAAUGCAAUUUUUUAACUAAUAAGGUAGAAGCCACUGAAACCUGGGCUGCCUAUGAAACAAAUACAAGGAAAUAUGGGGUAAUUCCUCUGUUUUGUCUAAAAUCAACAAGAGUAUGUGUGUAUAUAAAGGAAAUAUUUUAAGCAAUGACUGACUACCCAGAAGGGGUAGACCUCUGUUCUUUUGUCUUUCAGAUCAUCAGAGAAAACGGAUGCCAGCUGAACAGCAUUCAAUGUACCAUGCAUUUACUGGUACAAUAGGAACUAUUUUUGUGUUCUUUGUCCUGUCUUGUGGUGUUUGUCUUGUGGCCAGAAUUGUUGGGUUUAAUAUUUUCAUAAGACAGUCUAGUUCAAAAUUAAAUAGAAGGGUUAAAUCAAAAAGCAGAUACUUGUUUUUAUUCAACUUGGAAUACAAAAAGUGUUUGGAUAAAUCAGGAAAAUGUGAUAUACUAAAGUCUAAUACAGUUGCUUAAGUAAGAAAAAGAAACUUCAUUGGCCAGAUUUUUUUUUAAUUGAAAAAAUUGUUGUUAAAAUUUGCAUGCCAACAGUCUUUGGAAGCAAGGACAUGGAAGGUUAACCCACUCCCCAUAUUGCCCAUGGGAUCCUUCUGGCUACUUCAGAUUUCUAGCCAGAGGGCUGGGGAGGGAGGAAAGCUAUUGGACACCUGAGGUUGUACCGAGUGGACUCCUCAAAAGUGGGUGUGCUUGUCCUGGUUUGUUGCUCCAAAGCUCUGUAAUAAAGUUAUUUUACUGGAAGGGUGUACAUGGCAUACAUUGAAUAAUAAGACUAAUGUACUGUAUAAUGGCAAUGUGUAUGUGUUCAUUGUUGGGAAAAGGUGUAUGAGUGAAAAGUGGAAGUUUCCUUUGUAGGUUAAAAGAAGCCAAGAAGGGGAGAAGGAAAAAGAACAGAACGAGUUAACUGAGGAAAAAUAGCUAGCAAGCUCAGUCCAAAGAUAAGAUGCUGGCACCAUCCAAGGACACUGCCCACAGCUAAGACUUGGCUGAUAGCCAAGAAAAGGGGGGCCUGAAUGUGCCCAAGCAACUAUGAGAUCUGCAAAACACUGCCAGGCAUUAAUGAAAUGUGUUAGGUUUCUUUUCUCACAGAUAAAAGAAGUGCUACCCAAAGACCCUAGCAGCCCUGCCAUUCAUUGAAACAAGGAGACUGAGUCUAUGUAAAGUCCAUCAACGAAAGACUGCUUUGGCUCCACACUGGAAAGGCCCUUUCCAAGUCCUGUUAACCACCACCACCACCACUGUGAAGUGCCAAGGACUACCUGCCUGGACCCAUGCUUCUCACUGUAAAAAGACCCCUCCACCUCGGGAGGACUCUCCGACUGAUGAUAAGCCUAUUUCUCCUUCUAGCUCUGCUGUGUCUUCUGGACAGCAGGAAAAAGAAAGAAAGAAAAAAAAAAAAGACAAGGUGAAGUGCUAGUAACCUCUCCCUUGUCCACUGACAGACCUACUGUGCCUCUGGAUUUUUCUAGAAGAAGCAAAACCAUUACAGGGUGAUGUGCUAGUAACCUCUCCCCUGUAUGAUGCUAAACCACACUGUUUCAGGAAAAGAGAAGAAGGAACACUUGCUUCACUGAAACCACAAAGUCCAGGGAUUCCUGACUACAAGAGACAUUAAGAACUGACCCUGGUGAAGAAACAAAGAAUUAUACACUGGCAGGAAGAAACUUGUGGGACCCAUGCUUGGGAACGUGGUAUUGAAUAGAUUUUGGGGUUUAUUCUACAGGCUGCGCCCUGUGUUUUGGAUAAGUCCUUCAGCAUGUAUUGCCCUCCCUAAUUGGAUUUUAAAUGAUAAGUACCAAAGGCACCUUGUUGCCAUUGCCCAUGCCAUCUCCUCCAUUACACUAUUACCCCUGUAACACAUCCAAAUACAGACAAUGCCAUAUAUUUGAUAAAACCAAUGACUAAGGCCUUCACACUUUAGUGAUUUAUUUAAAUAUUGUUUGAAAAAAAAAUAUUUUUAAGGUUCAGGAUAUCCCAUAUAAGCGAACAAUUGAAUGGAUCAGUGGAGAUAAAAGUAUAUGAUAUCACUACCAGUGAACCCCAAGAAUUUAUAAUUGCUCACAGGGGGCUGCCAUUAGAUUAGCACAACAGAGGGCUUGGGUUAUUUCCUCUAGAAAGAAGAGAGACUUGACCGGAUCCCUUUGGGAUGGGGCCAAUAAUGCAGCAGCAGUUUGGAAUAUUUUUAAGAACCAAGAACAUGAUGAGAAAUUGGGGCAACUAGAGAAGGCCAUUGGCCUUGUUUCUGGAGCACAACUAACCCAGGUACAGGCUGGAGUUGAUGAGUUACAUGUUAUUUCCGCCCUUAGUUCAAUGACCCAGAAGUUGCUGACAGAGAUGGUAUUGAAUAUCACUGAGGCUGGGAAGGCAUUGCAGUGGGAUCUAGCAUGCUCAGAGAUCCAGGAUUUCUUGAAUGACCAGCUAAUGGCCAUUCGGAAUGAUCUAGAGCACCAGGCUUGGCCCACUGCCCUUACAGACACAUCAGGAGUACCAUCUGAUCUGUGGCCAUGGAGACAUACUUGGAAACUUUCUGGGUGGAAGUGUGGACGUUCUCAGUGCUCCUUCCAAGCAUAUGGACCGGUUCAGGGGGUGUGGGCUCCCACAUACCGAAUCCUGCCGGGUCCAUGGGGAGGAUGCAUGUGGGAUUGGGUAAUUCACCGAGACAUCUGGGAAAUUAGACCUCCUGGUAUGCCCAAUCGAUUUUUAGUCAGUGCUCCUGGGAUUACAUCUGACAUUUGGAUGGGGUUAGGGAGUCAAUGGACAUUUUGGCCGUUACAACCCCCACAGCUUCAGUGUAUCCGUAAACUGAAGCCAGGAGAAGUUGUUACUCUUCAUGACUACGUUUGCUGGGAGGGUAGGGGACAAGGAACUACCCUGACAGGACACUUAUUUUUUAAGCUAAUGAUAGCUGUGUGUAUGUUAAAGCCACCACAUUGCAAGACAUACAUUUUAAUCUCAUUACCACUGCAGGCAAUCAUAUUAUUUACUGGCCUGCAGAUAGAAUUUUGCAAGUAGUCCUUAGGUUCCAGAUACCCUUUAAUUGGACUAGUUUAGUACCUGAUCGAUUUCAAAAUUUGCUUUCACUGUUACCAGAGGUUCAGAAAAUCUCUGAAGUACAAGGGCAAAUUCACAUGCUUCAAAAUAUGUAUCAAGUUAAAAAGUAUGCCUUUCAGACAGCUUAUAGAGUAUCCACCUUAUGUACUAAGUAUGAUGUAUUGUGUUAUAUGACUAAGAUUGUACAACAACCCCAUCAUAUUAUCGCUAUGGGAAUGUUAUUGCUUGUGUUGUGCAGGAGUAUGUUAUUGUUGUUGUAAAGGACGUAAUAAUAGUAAUACCUUUCAUGUCCAUGCUCAUCAUGCAUUGUCAUUACAUCCAAUCAAAACCCCUAAGGUUGAAGCAUCUGAUGUAGAAUCUGAAUUCCGAGAUUUAAUGCAAAUAGAGAUUUGAAA